GAGGAGGAGGAGGUAGUGGAGGAGGAGGAAAAAGAGAAGAAGAGUGGGUGGAAGGAUGGAAGGAGAGAAGGAUGGAAGCAGUUCGAGGAGGUGGUUCGAAGCGGGUGAACCCAGAGCAGGUGAACACAGCUGUGGAUCGCCAUGGGCUCUCUGGCUGCCUUUCUCCCGUGGCCCCGGCGCUGCAAACAGGGGUCCUGGGGAGCCAGCAGGGGCCAGCCAAAGCUGCGGCAGAGUGGGCAGGCUGGGCCAGCCGAGCCAGGAGAGAGGCAGGUGAGGCGGGUGAGCCGAGCUCUUAUCCCCGCCGGCUAGGAGCCUCCGCGGCAGAGCGGAGCAGCGCAGAGCAGCAGAAAUCAAUACAGAGGAGAGAGGCUAGCAGAGGUUGCCCAGCACAGCCUGCAGGCCUUGGAGCCCAGGGACCAACCACCACCACUGCUCCCAGCUCCUCUCUGCUUCUCUCUUUCUAUCUUCCUCAAACAGUGCCAGCAUCAGCUAGGGCCAGGGCCCUAACCCUGCAACCGCCCCACACGCAGUAUGUGUGUCAGGAGGUGCACAUGUGUGUGUAAAAUUGAGGGAAAAAAAAAGGGAGAGGGAAAAGAAAGAGAGAGGGAGUCUUUGUGUGUGGUUCACCCGAAGGGGGUUUUGCUACGUCCAACAGCGCUUGAUAAAAGUUUGUCAGAGAGACACGGAGACAGUGAGGGAAGGAGAGAAACUGAAAAGGAAUGAGACAGGACGUCGAAGGUUUUUUUUUCUUCUUCCGGCUCCCUCCCUCCUAUUACACAUUCCACCUUCACAGUUUGAAUAAGGAUCCAGUGGAGAUGGUACAUUUCUGCUCAGUCCUUCCAAGCUCCUGGCGCACAAUAUUCCUAAGAUCUCAUGAGCCAGGAUGAAAGGACAAUUUGAACUUUUUCUCCCAUCCCCUGUAUCAGACACAACCUGUCUUUUCACCUUAGAUUUUCUUACCCUCACUACAGCAGCUCCCAUCAGAGGAUAUGGCAGCGCAGUAUUGAUCUAGAAGGUGGAAGAGAGGAAGGAGGGCCAGGGCUUUCAUACCUCUCUCUCUCCAUGUGUGUGGAAAUAGCACCUGAAGUCCACUUACUGCCGUGCAGCAGGGAUCCCGUGGCAGCACGAGUGAAUGGCUGCUAAUUGAAUGAGAGAUGAAAAGGACAGUAGUUGUACGUGUUCAAACCCCCCCCCCCACUCCACCCCUACCCGCUUCUCCUGUCUGCUACUACGUGGUUUUCCAUCUGACUUUUUUUUUUUUUUUUUUUUUUUUUGUCCUCCACGUUAACAAAAGUCCACACAGAGAGACUCCCCUUUGAGAUGUUUUAACACAAUUGGCAGUGACUGAAAACAUUUGAAAGAUCCUCCGGAAUAAACCCCCCUCCCAGCAUAUGUAGCACCAGUGCAGAGGUGAAGCCUUUAAAAGAAAACAGAGAAGAAGAAGACAGCCGAAAAGAAAAACGUGCCGUGCCAGAAAACGUGUACUGUACAACUUUGUCUGCUUUGAUGGGCAAUGCAAGACAACAGGAAAACUUCACACCUCUUGAUGCAGCCUCACAGACGAACGCUACCUUGGACAGAAAAAGCAGUUCAUUGUACGUUACUCCAACAAUGCACACAUGUUGUCUGUUGUCAGUUUCUCUGGACAUGUUGAGUCUCAGCCACAUAUGGAGGAGCCCCCAUCUACUCCUAGGCAAGAACAAACAGUUAGACGCACAUCAUUAUAGGUGGAUUGUCGUUUCUCUGGUCUGUGGUCUUUGUGGAUGUGAACAGGUAAGUACGAGCAACUUUUUAAAAGGUAAGUUUUGAGGUUGAAUCCAUUUAGAAGCUGACUGAAGUGUAAAAUACAGCUACUGAUCAAUAUUUUCCAAAGCUGGUUUUAUUAGAUGUAAAUGACUCAAUUCAACACCAAUUUAGUUUGGAGAUUGGAUGACACCCCGAGGGGGCCUUUCUUGUUACUCAGUAAUAUAUCUUAGAAUAUUUGAGUGGAAUAAUGUUUGACAUUGGUUGGAUAUUGAAGUACUUUCCACAAAUAUUUGUAUGUGUUUUUUAAUAUAAUAAAGUGAUUUAUCAUAACACUGUGAACAAGAACAAAAGUGUUGCAUUGAUAUGAUAUAUAUUUUCAAUAAAGUCGAACUAUUUGUGAAAUGAAAA